rnacentral:rRNA from 1 species
CCCUUCGGGGUGAUUGUUGUGGAUCGAGCGGCGGACGGGUGAGUAACACGUGGGCAACCUACCCAUGAGAUCGGGAUAACUCCGGGAAACCGGAGCUAAUACCGAAUAACCCAGUGAACUGCAUGGUUCACUGGUAAAAGGCGGUUUCGGCCGUCACUCAUGGAUGGGCCCGCGGCGCAUUAGCUAGUUGGUAAGGUAACGGCUUACCAAGGCGACGAUGCGUAGCCGACCUGAGAGGGUGAUCGGCCACACUGGGACUGAGACACGGCCCAGACUCCUACGGGAGGCAGCAGUAGGGAAUCUUCCGCAAUGGACGAAAGUCUGACGGAGCAACGCCGCGUGAACGAUGAAGGUCUUCGGAUCGUAAAGUUCUGUUGUUAGGGAAGAACAAGUGCCAGAGGAAAUGCUGGUACCUUGACGGUACCUAACCAGAAAGCCACGGCUAACUACGUGCCAGCAGCCGCGGUAAUACGUAGGUGGCAAGCGUUGUCCGGAAUUAUUGGGCGUAAAGCGCGCGCAGGCGGUUUCUUAAGUCUGAUGUGAAAGCCCACAGCUCAACUGUGGAGGGCCAUUGGAAACUGGGGAACUUGAGUACAGAAGAGGAGAGUGGAAUUCCACGUGUAGCGGUGAAAUGCGUAGAUAUGUGGAGGAACACCAGUGGCGAAGGCGACUCUCUGGUCUGUAACUGACGCUGAGGCGCGAAAGCGUGGGUAGCAAACAGGAUUAGAUACCCUGGUAGUCCACGCCGUAAACGUUGAGUGCUAGGUGUUAAGGGGGUUUCCGCCCCUUAGUGCUGAAGUUAACGCAUUAAGCACUCCGCCUGGGGAGUACGGCCGCAAGGCUGAAACUCAAAAGAAUUGACGGGGGCCCGCACAAGCGGUGGAGCAUGUGGUUUAAUU